GAGGCCAUCCUGAUGAGUACGAGGUGGUAGAGCUGCCUGCUUUUUGAUUAAUGUGACGAUCACACCCUCUGCCUGGGAGUUUUACAGACUGGUGAUGACUUUUUGUGGCAUCUCAGGAAUGAACAUAACUUCGUGGACGUCCUUAGUCAGAAUCUACUCAGUGUAUCUACUCAGUAUAGGCUCACAUGAGCCCUCACCUCCCCAGGGAGUCACAACCUCUACUACACUUCUUCCUUCUGCUCUGCCCCCCACAAACGGCCCUGCCAGCCCUCACCACCUAGAGGGAGAUUGGGAGCCGGUAGAGGAAAGACACCCUGAAUCCCCGAGGUCAAGCAAAGCCCUGGGGAGGCGCCGUGGGAUCCCUGCCUCGGGCCUGCCUAGACAGUAUGUGAAUGAGUAUCCCAGAGAUUCUCCCCGCUGUGACCUCGAGGGCCAGCCUGCCUGUGUGGCCGUGAGCUGCUUUCUUCCCAGAGGAACUUGCUUGCGGCAGCAGGACUCCACAGCCUCAGGGGCAGCUUGGGCCUCGGCAAAGUGGGGAGCUGCCUCGGUCCAGCAGGGGUCCAAAUCACCUCCUCAUUUAGAGGGACCAUGUCUCUAGAGAGAUGACAUGCCAAAAACGGAAACCUCACAGGAGCUUUUUGUCCACCUGCAAGCGAGGUACAGACACGUUUGAGACGGUGGAUGGACUUUUUUUUUUUCUCUUUUCUCUCUUUCCAAAAUCUGGCCACACCAUGGCCCAGUGAUGGAGAAGAAGUUGAGGACCUGUCAAGGAUCUUCUUUCUUAGGAGUGGCGGAGGGCUGACCAGUCUCAAUAAAGCACAGGGGGAGCCCCUGU
rnacentral:lncRNA from 1 species